AAUAGGUGCAACAGUAAACAGGAAAGACAGCCUUAACAUGUCAUUAGAGAAAAUAUCCCCAUACACAAGAAAAUAACAAGGAAGAUAUUACUCUCAUCCAAAAAACAGCAAGGUAUGCAUUAGAGACCAGAUUGACAAAGGUAAAGGGAAACUAGUGGAAUCUACACCAAUUCCCCCUAGAAACAUUGUGCCCGCAGCAUCGCCUUACAAAGCGGUAGGCUCUUCUAAUUCAUCUAUAGCUCCAGCUGGAAGAUUUAUCAGAAAAACAGCCAGUGAAGAGCCUGCUUCCUUGACACUUGACUCUAGAGAUGCGAAAGAUUUGGCAAAAACCCUUGCACUUUCAUCACAGCUCGAGUAUGAAGAUGAGUAUGAUGACUCAUUUGAUGACUUAGGCCUAAGUAUUGGUGAUUCAGCAUUUGAGGAAACUGAGAACCUCCAAGACAAGACAAACUUCAACCGUGGGAGAAGUUCUGAAGCUGAUAAUGGUAGCUCAGCUUCCAACGCUUCUAAAUGGGGAUCAAGAAAGAUGCCACAGUUUUACGUCAAAGACGGCAAGAACUAUAGUUACAAAGUUGAGGGUGCUGUUGCAGUGGCUAAUUACAAUGAAGCUUCUUUAGUAAAUCAAGCUCAAAAGGAGAUGAUACAUGGGUUGGGACGAGGUGGUAAUCUUCCUUUGGGUGCAGUUAAAUGGCUGACCGAGCCAAACGAGGAGAAAGACGACGAGCCAGAAUCAAAUGAAAUGGGUGGAAGGGGCAGAGGUCGAGGGUUCUACAGAGGAGGAAGAGGUGGGAGAAGAAGAGACUCAAACGAGGAGAAAGACAUCGAGCCCGGAUCAAAUGAAAUGGGUGGAAGAGGGGGAGGUCGAGGGUUCUUCAGAGGAGGGAGAGGUGGGAGAAGAGGGGGAGAUUCAAACGGGGAGAAAGACAAUGAGCCGGAAUCAGAUGAGAUGGAUGGAAGCGGGGGAGGUCGAGGGUUCAGAGGAGGGAGAGGUGGGAGAAGAGGGGGAGAUUCAAACGGGGAGAAAGACAAUGAGCCGGAAUCAGAUGAGAUGGAUGGAAGCGGGGGAGGUCGAGGG
rnacentral:misc_RNA from 1 species